rnacentral:lncRNA from 1 species
AUGGAUAUUUUAACACAACCAGAAUCCAAUUGACAAAUGUUGUCCUGACAGCUCAAGGUACACUGUUGGGUUAAAAACAAAACAAAACAAAACAAAACAAAACAAACCAAAACAAAACAAAACAAAACAAAACAAAACAAAACAAAGAAGAUAAAAUAUCAAUCUCGGUGGGACAGCCUGUUCCUCCCCUACUUCUCCCUUCCCACCCAUCCAUUUGAAACACAAUGAGUAACUACUGAAAGUUAGUUACAUUUAAUGAUGUCAACAGGAAAAUGAAAUCAUUGUUUUGGGUUGCCUCCUGCCCACAAGUGCUUUGGCUAGUCCUACCUAGCACAACUCCUAAACAAUGCCUGUGCCAGGCUGAGGAGCAAGCAUGCACCAUUUCCCAAGACACUGUUGUGGAAGAGGACAGCCAAAAGGAUUGGAAGCUGAUGGAUGCCACCGUUCCUGUGUUAUUUCAUCUCAAGUGAGCAAACUAAAAGGCUUCUUCUUUACAUGGAAAAUAACUUCUGACAAGAAAAUGUCAACUGCAAAACCCCGGAUCUCCAAUAGUUAUGCCGUCAGUACAACCCUUCUGUUUCUCAAAGGAGGUAAUAUUUUGGAAAAGAUGCAGCAUAGUACCUGCUGAAAGGCUUGUUUAGCUAGGACUUAAGAAAAUAUUUCUGAAAAUGAAGUCACAAAUAAGGCUUUUGUUUUGUUUUGUUUGUUAACACUGUGAUAAACAUGGCUUGUGUUCAACUUGGAAUCCACAGGGCUUAAUCCAAACAGUUACAUAGUGAUUGUCAACAUAAACCUGGCAAAACAAAUAGUAUUGUAACAGUGGUUUUCUUUUUAUUUUAAUUCACAGAAAUGGCUGUAUGUGCGUGAGUCUGUGCAUGUGUGAGACUUUCCUCUUGUCUUACAGUCUUAUCUUUUCCAGCAGUUAAAACAACUUACAGGAACUAUGCUAUUUUUAGUUCAGCACUUUGAGUAACAGACUUGAGGAUGUUAACUCUUUCUGAAGCUAAGCAGGAGAUUAUUUUUAUUUAUUUAUUUGUUUUACCACAGGUGAGGCUGGUCAUGCUGUUUGUGAUUACAACCACCCAAAGCUUCCUUUUAUAAGACAUAGUUUUCAUAGGUUAUAGCUCUGCAAGACUAACCAUCGGGCACUAAAACUGUCCAGUAAAGUUUUCUGUCUCAUGAUUUCUGUCUCUCCCUUCUUUAAUUUUAAAUGUAAUUAGAAAAAAUAAUAAUAAUAAUUUAAAAAAAAUCCAUCUCCGAGAACAGUAAGAGCAGUUGCUUUGCUCAUAUUAAGAACAUUUGAAGUCUUUCAUCUUUGUACUCAUGCUCUUCUACUUCAGACAAAGGUAUUGACAACUGGCAGAGGGCAUGGAAGGGAUAAAUUUUGUAGCAGACGUGUCUCUUUGUCUUCUGAGUAACACUACAGAUUGAGCAAGACAAAAAGCUCUGAAAUAACACCAUCUGUGCAUAGACAGAGGAGAGUAGCAAUCUGCUUGGAUGCUUUCAAUAUUUCAUCAGGGGAUCUAAGGACCCUAAAUUUAGGAUUACAUCUUAGCCAAACUGAUUUAGCAUGCAAGGUGUUCCAGACACCAAAAGAGGAAAACAAGUCUUCUCCAGCCUUCCUCAUCUGUCUCAAUCUUUUCUGCUUUUUUCCAUCCCAGUCAAUAGGUUAGACCUCAGCAAGGGGUCAGCUUCAAAACGUGGGAUUCAAAUACAUCCAAGGAGUGAACUUUAUGGACAUCAUUCACCAUCAUUUGAAAAAUUCAUAAUCAGUCUUUAUAGCAAAUGGUGAUCCCAACUCUUCAAUGCAGGAGACACUUCCAUUAUCAGAAGAACACUAACAGAAAUCUUGGAAAAGAUCAAAUCUCAUGGGAGACAGGGUAAGGUCAUGCUUGUCCUUAGUUUUGGGCAGAAGCCUCAACUCCCUGUAUUGUUCCUGGAAAAAGCAGACACUUGACACUUUCUGACAUUGAUUGAGGGCAAGAAUAUAACUCAGGUUCUGUGAAUGGUCUUCUGGAAAGGCCUAAAAUGUCUUUUUAAAGACUGAGAUAUCCCCACUGGUUACCCAAGGGAAAGCAAUAUGAACAUCCUUCAGAGUUUCAGCUUCACUUCACUUUCUGUCCAUGGCCCUGGGGUGGCUUAAUCCUAUCCUAAACCCAGCUGAGAAGAUGACAAUAUUCUCUGUUUGAUGCAGGACAUUUGACUGCACUUUUCCAUGGAGGUAUGCUGGAGACAAUCCUCUUUUGUCUAGUUAGAUCUUAAGUCCUUUGAGCAGCACUCUGUCAACAUCAUUUUCCACCACAGGUGAAAGUUUUUUAUCACCUCCAUCAGUUCCUGACCUGACUUGAUGUAGCUUUUGAAAGCUGAAAGGAGUCUCCUUUUGUAUGUCUUCUCAAAGUAGGAAUGUAUUUCUCUUGGAAGCAGACCAUGUUUCUCUUUCUCUCAGUUUUAGGCAGGAGUCCAUAUUCUGACAUUGAAAUAUCAGUAACCUAACACCUAUGGCAGAGCUCACAUUCUGCCAUUCAAAACCACUUUAUCUUUUAAGAAGCCUUGCUUAUCCUAUUAUGAUGAUGAUAUUUAUGUAUGACAAGUAGUAUUUUAAUAAAAUUCAAUAUGAAUUCA